UCCCCGGUAGCUCAAUGGCAGAGCGGGAUCCUGUUAAGAUCAAGGUUGUAGGUUCGAGUCCUACCCGGGGAGCCA
rnacentral:tRNA from 1 species